GUGACACGCAGCGGCACGUCCCCUCUGAAUCACGUUUCCUUUCUCUCCACAGUUUGUGUUCGCUGAAAGGCGAAAUAUCGCCGGAGAUUGGCCGGGACACAGCGAAUCUGAAGAGUAGAUACAGCACCGCUGGUCCACUGAGUCUGAUGCUGUGGCUGAAGAGACACAACUGAUUUCUUCAUUUGGCAGUUACCAUGGCGAUGAGCGCCAUCCAAUAUGUGGAUUUGUUUCCUUCAACCAGAGAGAGUCUGGACCUGCUCAGAUCUUGGUCACUUGGCUCCUGGUGUUUCUCCAGCUCUUCCUUCCUCAUCGGCAUCUCGCUCACCUCUCUGUCACCUGAUAGCAGCUGAGAGGGGCUGAAUGCCACAGGCCUUUUUCACUCUCACCACAGGCCCCUGACAAAGACGCAGGAAGAGGGAACAGCAAGCUAAUCAAAGAGUAGUCACCUGAACCACCAGCAGCACUUUCCAUGAUGGCAGCCAACAGAGAACACCAAGUGCGUCACAUGACUGGCUUCCCUCGUACUAUGUACCCCUUCACCUUUAACUCCAUGAGGAGCCACUUGCCCUUUGACCUACUGGCCAGUAG